CCUACGGGUGGCUGCAGUGGGGAAUAUUGGACAAUGGGGGGAACCCUGAUCCAGCCAUGCCGCGUGUGUGAAGAAGGCCCUCGGGUUGUAAAGCACUUUCAGUGAGGAAGAACGCCUGGUGGUUAAUACCCAUCAGGAAAGACAUCACUCACAGAAGAAGCACCGGCUAACUCCGUGCCAGCAGCCGCGGUAAUACGGAGGGUGCGAGCGUUAAUCGGAAUUACUGGGCGUAAAGCGCGCGUAGGUGGCUUGAUAAGCCGGUUGUGAAAGCCCCGGACUCAACCUGGGAACGGCAUCCGGAACUGUCAAGCUAGAGUGCAGGAGAGGAAGGUAGAAUUCCCGGUGUAGCGGUGAAAUGCGUAGAGAUCGGGAGGAAUACCAGUGGCGAAGGCGGCCUUCUGGACUGACACUGACACUGAGGUGCGAAAGCGUGGGUAGCAAACAGGAUUAGAUACCCCAGUAGUC
rnacentral:rRNA from 1 species